ACGGGUGAGUAACGCGUGGGAACGUGCCCUUCGGUUCGGAAUAACUCAGGGAAACUUGAGCUAAUACCGGAUACGUGCGAGAGCAGAAAGGUUUAUCUGCCGAAGGAUCGGCCCGCGUCUGAUUAGCUAGUUGGUGAGGUUACGGCUCACCAAGGCGACGAUCAGUAGCUGGUCUGAGAGGAUGAUCAGCCACACUGGGACUGAGACACGGCCCAGACUCCUACGGGAGGCAGCAGUGGGGAAUAUUGGACAAUGGGGGCAACCCUGAUCCAGCCAUGCCGCGUGAGUGAUGACGGCCUUAGGGUUGUAAAGCUCUUUUCUCCGGGACGAUAAUGACGGUACCGGAGGAAUAAGCCCCGGCUAACUUCGUGCCAGCAGCCGCGGUAAUACGAAGGGGGCUAGCGUUGCUCGGAAUCACUGGGCGUAAAGGGCGCGUAGGCGGCUGAUUUAGUCGAGGGUGAAAGCCCGUGGCUCAACCACGGAAUGGCCUUCGAUACUGAUUGGCUUGAGACCGGAAGAGGACAGCGGAACUGCGAGU
rnacentral:rRNA from 1 species